rnacentral:rRNA from 1 species
CAUAGGUUAAUGAGGCGAACCGGGGGAACUGAAACAUCUAAGUACCCCGAGGAAAAGAAAUCAACCGAGAUUCCCCCAGUAGCGGCGAGCGAACGGGGAGCAGCCCAGAGCCUGAAUCAGUAUGUGUGUUAGUGGAAGCGUCUGGAAAGGCGCGCGAUACAGGGUGACAGCCCCGUACACAAAAAUGCACAUGCUGUGAGCUCGAUGAGUAGGGCGGGACACGUGGUAUCCUGUCUGAAUAUGGGGGGACCAUCCUCCAAGGCUAAAUACUCCUGACUGACCGAUAGUGAACCAGUACCGUGAGGGAAAGGCGAAAAGAACCCCGGCGAGGGGAGUGAAAAAGAACCUGAAACCGUGUACGUACAAGCAGUGGGAGCACGCUUAGGCGUGUGACUGCGUACCUUUUGUAUAAUGGGUCAGCGACUUAUAUUCUGUAGCAAGGUUAACCGAAUAGGGGAGCCGAAGGGAAACCGAGUCUUAACUGGGCGUUAAGUUGCAGGGUAUAGACCCGAAACCCGGUGAUCUAGCCAUGGGCAGGUUGAAGGUUGGGUAACACUAACUGGAGGACCGAACCGACUAAUGUUGAAAAAUUAGCGGAUGACUUGUGGCUGGGGGUGAAAGGCCAAUCAAACCGGGAGAUAGCUGGUUCUCCCCGAAAGCUAUUUAGGUAGCGCCUCGUGAAUUCAUCUCCGGGGGUAGAGCACUGUUUCGGCAAGGGGGUCAUCCCGACUUACCAACCCGAUGCAAACUGCGAAUACCGGAGAAUGUUAUCACGGGAGACACACGGCGGGUGCUAACGUCCGUCGUGAAGAGGGAAACAACCCAGACCGCCAGCUAAGGUCCCAAAGUCAUGGUUAAGUGGGAAACGAUGUGGGAAGGCCCAGACAGCCAGGAUGUUGGCUUAGAAGCAGCCAUCAUUUAAAG